UUAUCAGAGAGUUUGAUCCUGGCUCAGGAUGAACGCUGGCGGCGUGCUUAACACAUGCAAGUCGAGCGAAGCAGUUAAG
rnacentral:rRNA from 1 species